GGAGCCAAAUGACAUACAAAUAUAUAAAGUAAAAAAUAUUUUAUUUGGCAAAAGUACAAAAUUGUACGGCCACGGCUUGACAAAGAAUGGGACUGCCGAGAAACAUAAUUGGCAAGUCCCUAGUAUAUAUAAUUAAACCUUAUAGUCCAUUCCUUAUUCCUUAUUUCCACAUUAUUGUCCAUUCCUUAUUCCUUAUUUCCACAUUAUUGUCCAUUCCUUAUUCCUUAUUUCCACAUUAUUGUCCAUUCCUUAUUCCUUAUUUCCACAUUAUUCUUAUUCCUUAUUUCCACCUUAUUGUUAUUCCUUAUAAUGUCAUUUCCUUAUAUAUCAAUAUAAUAUCCUUAUUAACAUUAUUGCUUCCAAAAUAUAUCGGAUGCUGGCCCUGGGAAACAGAAGCUCAGCGGAUACAUAAUUCCAUUAUAAGAAGCAUAAUAUAUUUGUAGAUGUUGUGUCGCUAUUUUCGCCAUUAAAUGGUCGGAGUCUUUGUCUGAAGCCGUGACGAAGGAUUGGGAUUACAAUGGUCGGAGUCUUUGUCUGAAGCCGUGACGAAGGAUUGGGAUUACAAUCGGAAUAAGCUACCAGUCAUUUCAACCUAAAAAAUAGAACAAAAACAGCAGAAAAACGAACAACAUGAUAUAACAUAAUAUAACAUUUAACACAUGUAUAUUAACUACAUUUUAGGAGUAUGUCUUUUAUCUAAGUGGUGGGUGGGUGGGUAACUUUUGAAACAAACAUUAGUUAAUUCAUACGGAACCCAAUUUUUUGCGUCUUCCCUCUGCUGUAUCGUACGUGGUAAAGAAAGAAUGAUGACGUCACAGUUAUCAAGGUUAAAAUAAUUAACGUGACUCAUAAUACAUAACAAGUUCCACCACGUGUUCAAAGCGGGACAACUCCCAAAACGUAAGCCCACUUUCCUCCGAUAACCGGAUUUAUUCUUCAUAGGAAUAAAUCUUAUUAUCUGAGACAACGUGGGGCCAAAUGACAUACAAAUAUAUAAAGUAAGAAAUAUUUUAUUUGGCAAAAGUACAAAAUUGUACGGCCACGGCUUGACAAAGAAUGGGACUGCCGAGAAACAUAAUUGGCAAGUCCCUAGUAUAUAUAAUUAAACCUUAUAGUCCAUUCCUUAUUCCUUAUUUCCACAUUAUUGUCCAUUCCUUAUUCCUUAUUUCCACAUUAUUGUCCAUUCCUUAUUCCUUAUUUCCACAUUAUUGUCCAUUCCUUAUUCCUUAUUUCCACAUUAUUCUUAUUCCUUAUUUCCACCUUAUUGUUAUUCCUUAUAAUGUCAUUUCCUUAUAUAUCAAUAUAAUAUCCUUAUUAACAUUAUUGCUUCCAAAAUAUAUCGGAUGCUGGCCCUGGGGAAACAGAAGCUCAGCGGAUACAUAAUUCCAUUAUAAGAAGCAUAAUAUAUUUGUAGAUGUUGUGUCGCUAUUUUCGCCACAUGGUCGAAUUCAGUGGCUAUGCCAAGAGUUAUUGGACACUGAGUUCGACCACCGCCACAAAUGCGGUAGCGACACAACACACCCGCCGUGACCGUACUUUUAAAUGACCACACACAUAUAUUUAUAUUUAAAUUACCCUGUAAUGAAAUAAGAAAAAAAAAAACAAUUGCCCACAUGAGAUAAAGUAACGCCGUCAGAUGUGAAUAUAUCGGGCUUAUUAUAUAUUUCAGGCUAUUUUAUGUAACAACCUCCCAAUUGUAUAUAUAGCUAAGCGGCAAAGGUGUACAUUCUUGUGGCUGCUUUAUUCAUGCUUAUUGGUUUUUACCAUAUCUCCGAUUCAAAAUGAAACUGAAUCCAUUAUUCCUACAUGUAUUCAAACUUUUAAAACUUAGAACACAUGAACACUGGUACUUGUCACCAAAGUCAGAGAAUAAGGAGACUUUAACCUUUGGUCUUUGCAUUUCAUAUUUUUUACAAAUAAAUUAGACAAUAUUCUAGUUUAGUUUCUGUUAUUUCUAUACAU
rnacentral:lncRNA from 1 species